rnacentral:lncRNA from 1 species
AUGUUUAUUAUCGUUCUCGUGAUUCUCGAUUCUUGAUAAACCGAAGCCGGACUCAUGGCGGUUAACUCCCGUAGUUGUUGAUCCAAAAGGGUACUUAACGAACCACUUCCGGUUGCUGAACUCAAACUAUUUCGGUUAAUCUUAUCCGUCGAUCGGGAAAUUGGAGAUGUGAAUGUAAACGAAAUAACAUCCAGUCCGUUAGAUUUAGCUGCAAGUUUUCCGUUUCUAUCUUGUUUAGCACCACCCUUGUUUUUAACAUCUUCGGUUAAACGUUUCCUACGAUCAACGGUUUUGUUCGCCGCGAUUAUAGCCGCUGAGCGCUUAUCAGAAACCGAUUUUCUAGAUUGUGUAUUCGUAGAAGAUACCGAAGAUUUCGCAGUAGAUUUGACUCUAUCGGGUACACAAUUCUGCUUUUUAUUGUUCGGUUUGAGCACUUUGUUUGUAGCAGGUUUCUUGAGUGUGUUCUUUUCACCAACUGGUUGAUUGUUCGCAGAUUUUGCUCCGUUUAAAGUGAAACCCUCUCGUUUUUUAACGUUGACUUUCGCCUGAAUAGCUAAAGAAACCGACUUUUUCCCGUCUUUUUGUUCUAAACAUCCGUCCCAACUUUUGUUCAUUGAUUGCCCUUUAAGCUUCCUAGCAGCGUUUGACUCCACGGGCCUUGUAGGAGACGGUUUACGAUUAGAAACGUCAACCGAAGUUGACCCAACAAGCGGUAUUUUUGACGCGGCUUCCAUUAUACGCGUGGGAUCGUUUAAAGACACGAACCCCGAGCUCUUGAUUGGAGAUACGAGUUUGUGUUGAGUAAUGAUAACAGAUCGAGAUGAUUUUGGCGGUAAACUUUCGGUUUGAAACUUCUCGAUUAUAUUACGUUUUUGCUCAACUUGACGAUUGUCUUUCUGUUCAAGUUCCGAGACUUUUUCUACAUGUAAUGCAGAAGAAUCUUGCCUAGAUCGAGUGUCGAAAAAUCGGUUUGACUUUGACUGUGUGUCGAACGAAUUUGAAGUAGGGAAAGAAUCCAAUCCCAUAAGUCUAGCAACCACCCCGGGGGAUUUACCGUUAUCAUCUUCAUCGAUUAGUGAUGAUGAUGUACAGCCUUUAAGAAUUAAACUACUUGCUGUAUAAUCUUCAAUCACCUAACUAAAUUCACAAAUUAAAUAUUAUCACGUUAACUUUAGAGUAAAAUGUCAUUUUCGUCCCUGAGGUUUGGCUAGUUUAGCGACUUUCUUUUUCCGCAUUUGGAUCCAAAAGGUUUGAAAUCUUGCCAUUUUCACCUGGCUCGUUAACUCCAUCCUUUUUUUUCGUUAAGUCGGAGGUAUUUUCGUUUUUUUUCUAACCUAAAGGCAUCUUGGUCUUUUUCACUUUAUGUGAAAAGACCGAAUGCCCCUGAAAAAGACGAAAAAGACUGAACUGCCCUUUAAGU